rnacentral:antisense_RNA from 1 species
CGCCGCCAUCUUUUCUCCCCUCAGCCCGCCAGCCCCGCGGCCGGGACCCGCCACCGAAUGACGGCCCCCGCGCGCGGCCAAUCCGCGAAGCCGCGCCUGCGCACCAGAGGCGGGCGGGAGCGGGCGGAGGGCGGGGAAUGAAUCUAAGCCUCCAGAGACAGCGCCUCCUGCUGCCUGAACGAGAACUGCACCUUUCUCUGCUAGGAUCACUGGAUUUACGUGAAAACUGAGCCCCAGACAGGUUAAGGGGCUUUCCUAAAGUUGCACAAAUGGCUUCUACUCACCAGAGGAUCUGAGUCCAGAGAACUUGGGGUGCUGUCUUUGACUGUCCUAUCCUCGGGAGGCGCAGUGGCUCAUGCCUGUAAUCCCAGCAUUUAGGGAGGCCAAGACGGGAAGAUCACUUGAGGUCAGAAGUUCAAGACCAGCCUGGCCAACGUGGUGAAACCCUGUUUCUACU